rnacentral:rRNA from 1 species
CGUGUAGGCGGGACAAUUAGUCAACUGUGAAAUCUUUCGGCUUAACCGGAAACCUGCAGCUGAUACUGUUGUCCUUGAGUUCGGAAGAGGGAAGUGGAAUUCCUGGUGUAGCGGUGAAAUGCGUAGAUAUCAGGAAGAACACCAGUAGCGAAGGCGGCUUCCUGGUCCGUAACUGACGCUGAGACGCGAAAGCGUGGGGAGCAAACA